UGGCUCAGGACGAACGCUGGCGGCGUGCUUAACACAUGCAAGUCGAACGGUGAAGAGGAGCUUGCUCCUUGGAUCAGUGGCGGACGGGUGAGUAAUACCUAGGAAUCUGCCUGAUAGUGGGGGACAACGUUCGGAAACGGACGCUAAUACCGCAUACGUCCUACGGGAGAAAGCAGGGGACCUUCGGGCCUUGCGCUAUCAGAUGAGCCUAGGUCGGAUUAGCUAGUUGGUGAGGUAAUGGCUCACCAAGGCGACGAUCCGUAACUGGUCUGAGAGGAUGAUCAGUCACACUGGAACUGAGACACGGUCCAGACUCCUACGGGAGGCAGCAGUGGGGAAUAUUGGACAAUGGGCGAAAGCCUGAUCCAGCCAUGCCGCGUGUGUGAAGAAGGUCUUCGGAUUGUAAAGCACUUUAAGUUGGGAGGAAGGGCAUUAACCUAAUACGUUAGUGUUUUGACGUUACCGACAGAAUAAGCACCGGCUAACUCUGUGCCAGCA
rnacentral:rRNA from 1 species